rnacentral:rRNA from 1 species
AACGAACGCUGGCGGCAGGCCUAACACAUGCAAGUCGAGCGCGCCCUUCGGGGUGAGCGGCGGACGGGUGAGUAACGCGUGGGAACGUGCCCUUUUCUACGGAAUAGCCUCGGGAAACUGAGAGUAAUACCGUAUACGCCCUUUGGGGGAAAGAUUUAUCGGAAAAGGAUCGGCCCGCGUUGGAUUAGGUAGUUGGUGGGGUAAUGGCCUACCAAGCCGACGAUCCAUAGCUGGUUUGAGAGGAUGAUCAGCCACACUGGGACUGAGACACGGCCCAGACUCCUACGGGAGGCAGCAGUGGGGAAUCUUAGACAAUGGGGGCAACCCUGAUCUAGCCAUGCCGCGUGAGUGAUGAAGGCCUUAGGGUUGUAAAGCUCUUUCAGCUGGGAAGAUAAUGACGGUACCAGCAGAAGAAGCCCCGGCUAACUCC